rnacentral:rRNA from 1 species
CCUACGGGUGACAGCAGUGAGGAAUAUUGGUCAUUGGACGCAAGUCUGAACCAGCCAUGCCGCGUGCAGGAAGACGGCUCUAUGAGUUGUAAACUGCUUUUGUACGAGGGUAAACGCAGAUACGCGUAUCUGUCUGCAAGUAUCGUACGAAUAAGGAUCGGCUAACUCCGUGCCAGCAGCCGCGGUUAUACGGAGGAUUCAAGCGUUAUCCGGAUUUAUUGGGUUUAAAGGGUGCGUAGGCGGUCGGAUAAGUUAGAGGUGAAAUCCCGAGGCUCAACUUCGGAAUUGCCUCUGAUACUGUUCGGCUAGAGAGUAGUUGCGGUAGGCGGAAUGUAUGGUGUAGCGGUGAAAUGCUUAGAGAUCAUACAGAACACCGAUUGCGAAGGCAGCUUACCAAGCUACUUCUGACGUUGAGGCACGAAAGCGUGGGGAGCAAACAGGAUUAGAUACCCUAGUAGUC